rnacentral:rRNA from 1 species
GAAAUUCUAGGAUCGACCCGAGACGAACUGCCGCGAAAGCAUUCGGCAAGGACGCUUUCAUUAAUCAAGAACGAAAGUCGGGGGAUCGAAGACGAUCAGAUACCGUCGUAGUCCCGACCGUAAACGAUGCCGACCGAGGGCCCGGAGGAGUUACGUACGACCCUCCGGGCCCUCCCGCGAGAAAUCAGGAGUAUUCGGGUUCCGGGGGGAGUAUGGUCGCAAGGCCGAAACUUAAAGGAAUUGACGGAAGGGCACCACCAGGAGUGGAAUCUGCGGCUUAAUUUUGACCCAACGCGGGAAAACUCACCAGGUCAGGACACGGUAAGGAUUGACGGACUGAAGGCUCUUUUCUCGAUUCCGUGGAAAGUGGUGCAUGGCCGUUUUUUGGUUGGUUGGAUCGAUCCGUCUGGUUAAUUCCGUUAACGAACGAG